rnacentral:rRNA from 1 species
UGGGGAAUAUUGGUCAAUGGGCGAAAGCCUGAACCAGCAAUGCCGCGUGAGUGAUGAAGGCCUUCGGGUUGUAAAGCUCUGUCAGAGGGAACGAAAAAACCGGUUAACACCCGGGCUUGACGGUACCCUCAAAGGAAGCACCGGCUAACUCUGUGCCAGCAGCCGCGGUAAUACAGAGGGUGCAAGCGUUGUUCGGAAUUACUGGGCGUAAAGCGAGUGUAGGCGGCCUAUUAAGUCAGAUGUGAAAUCCCUUGGCUCAACUGAGGAACUGCAUCUGAUACUGGUAGGCUUGAGUGUCGGAGGGGAUGGUAGAAUUCCUGGUGUAGAGGUGAAAUUCGUAGAUAUCAGGAGGAAUACCUGUGGCGAAGGCGACCAUCUGGAAGACAACUGACGCUGAGAC